GGUGUAUGUCUGUCAUUCUUACGGAUUUAAUAACAAGGUUUAAGAAAAAGCUCAAAUUUUCAGUUUAUGCUAAAUCCAGAUAGUCAUCUUUCAUUUUUUUUAUAACUUUUUCAAAUCAACAUGGAUUUCCAUAAAACUUUACAGCUAUUUCAUUUAUAUAUUGAUCUAAAAGAAUGCCAAGUUGUUUGGUAGUUUGGUGUGCUGCUGUCAUUCUUAU
rnacentral:lncRNA from 1 species